GCCUGUUCGCCAAGCAAGGCGAGAAUGGGCCCCUGGGCUUCUUCCCAGACAGGAGAACCCCAGACCCAGAGACUCAAGAGCUGGGUGGGGCGAGGCAGCCUCUCCUGGGUCACACCUACCCCUCCUACCCCACCCCACUCACCUGCCUCCCUCGCCUCCCCUGGGUCACACCUACCCCUCCACCCCCGCCCCACUCACCUGCCUCCCUCUCCUCCCCAGCACAGAGCCCGCUCACACUUUAAGGUCAAAGAUAGUUCCAAGCUUCACAUUCGUUCAGACAUAAAAGCCCCAAGCCUUUGGUGGGGAGGCUGCUGUCAAUGGUGCCAAAUUAUGCGUGUCUAGUUUUUGUGAUGUGAUCUACUGCCGUUCAUUAGGGACUGAGCUGGGCCCAUCCACUCAUUUUUCUUGGGGCAGCGAGCUGGUCUGCAGGGAGUCCCGGUGCUGAGAGGCCAAUCCGUCCUUUGCUCACUCAGCAACUUUGCUUUUUGAAUUUUUUUUUUAAUGAAAAAUUUUAAUGCAGAAUAGAGGAAUCAGGCCUUGGACAUAGAAGUGAAUGGAUCAGAUCUUGCAGGAGCCAAGCCCUGGAAUAUAUUAAUAUGUAGUGAGUGCAGUAACAACUUUGAAACAUUCACAAAUCUGUCUGGCAGGGCAUGUCUCCUGUUUUAAAGUGUCACUGCUGGGCCUUAAUUACACACAUAAGAAUAAGGUAAGGGGGCGUGUCACACUUCGGAAUUUUAGAAAUUCACAUUGUAUAAAACACUGCACCUCUAAAAGGCUACGCAGACCACACUAACGUGUCAGAACUUCCCUCUUUGGCAAACAUACAAAAGACUCGUGCAAAGAGUAACGGAAGUUGAAUACAACGGGCUAAAAGCAAUGCUUUUCUGUUCCUAAGCGACCAGAACUGGGCCAAGGAGACUCAGCGUUUAAAUAUCCCGGUAAUGGAUCAGUGAAGGAAUGAAGAGACUUGUCCACCAUUCAGCUGCUCCAGCUGCUCCAGCUGCUUCAGUCCAUCUUGGCAACUUCUGGUGGCAGGGAAGUGACAGGCAUCAGGGUGGAGGGCAGGGCGGAGGGCAGGGCGGGAGUCCUGAGAGGCGGGCAUGGUGGAUGCACCAGCUGGGCCUUUGAACUGCCAUCUCCUGUGCCGUCCCUUCAGGGAGACCUCUUCCUAAGGCUCUCCGUUCUAGGGAGCAAAGGUCCUGUCCCAAGGUUUAGAAAGCAAAGUCCUCAAGACUGCUACCAGUCCAGCGAGACCAAAACCAAGAGAGUUUCCCAGAGCCCCCAGGAGGGCAGGAGAUCAGAUGGACGAGCAGGCGUCCUGCAGAACGCUUCUCAUCCCAGCACCCUGUCCACAGCAUCCCCACGGAGGCCCAAGUGAAACAAAGGUGAGGACAAAUAUCUGCCCUGUAGUACCUGAAAUGGCCAUUUCACCCAAACCCAGGGAAGCUACCUGCUGUUGGACAAAGUAAAGACACACGCGCUCCUGAAAAUAUGGCAUCAGGUGGUGACUGCACAGACAGCACACUCCAGCCUGCGCGAGAGCCCCUCAUCAGCUCACAACUCACAACUAUCUCACAGGCUCUCAGGCUCGGCAGUCACCACGCCUGGGAAGCAAAAGCCUCCAUUCCCGACAGUCAUCACAAUCUGUUUGCAAUUACCAAGGAAAGAAAAGAAAGAUCCUGAAGACCCAUCCUCACGGUGUUAAAUGGAGCCUUUGGUUUUCUAUCUGUGUUGCUGAUGAGCCCGUAUUUUUGGAGAAGCUGUAACAGGAACUAUGGGGGACUUAAGUUCCCUUUUGUUUUGUGUUUUUCUUUAUCAGGCAUUUUCUUUUGCGAAGAAAGGUCAGAGGUGGAGACAGUAUUCCCUCAUUUGUUAGGAAGGCACUGAGCAGAAAGAAGUUUCAUAAGAGGUUAUUUCAAAUAAAUUAUUUAAAGAAAAAACAAGACUGCCAUCCAAUGCCAGGGAUGGACGUCUGAGAUGCUUACCAGCCUCCAGCUUACAUUUGGCAUUAUUUCUUACAUUUUUCUGCAUACUUUUUUUCUCCAUGUGCAAACACAGGCCAAGUUUGGUUGUUUCAGGGCCAUGCUAGGAUUGGACUCUGCACAAGUACUGCAGUCAAAGAGGAGAAAAUGAAAGAGAAAAGUGACUGCCGAUCCAUCUCACUUGGCAUGUUUAUAUGUUCUUUUAAGCAAAAAAAAA
ensembl:lncRNA